UACGUAGGGUGCAAGCGUUUGUCCGGAAUUAUUGGGCGUAAAGAGCUCGUAGGCGGUUUGUCGCUCUGCUGUGAAAACGCGAGGCUCAACCUCGCGCCUGCAGUGGGUAGCGGGAGACUAGAGUGCGGUAGGGGAGAAUUGGAAUUCCUGUGUAGCGGUGGAAUGCGCAGAUAUCAGGAGGAACACCGAUGGCGAAGCAGAUCUCUGGGCCGUAACUGACGGCUGAGGAGCGAAAGCAUGGGGAGCGAACAGG
rnacentral:rRNA from 1 species